CCCGCUGAACUUAAGCAUAUCAAUAGGCGCAGGAAAAGAAACUAACAAGGAUUUUCCGAGUAACGGCGAGUGAAAGGGAAUCAGCCCAGCACCGAAUCCGGCAGCGUCUCGUUGCACGGACCUGUGGUGUUUAGGCAAGCCUUUCCGGUGGUUUGUGGCAGACCGAGUCCUUUUGAGUAAGGCCAUUACCCAUAGCGGGUGCAAGGCCCAUAGGUCAGCUCACUCUGCCGGUUAGCGCUGCCUUGGAGUCGGUUUGCUUGAGAGUGCAGACCAAAGCAGGAGGUAAAUCUUUCCUAAGGCUAAAUACUACCGCGAGACCGAUAGCAAACAAGUACCGUGAGGGAAAGUUGCAAAGAACUUUGAAGAGAGAGUUCAACAGGGCGUGAAACCGUUUGGAAGCAAACGAAUGGCACUGACAUUACGUUCGCUCGGAUUCAGCCGUUCUGACAGUGGAUCGCUGGCUGUGCCGAUCGCAAGACGGCUUGCUGGCUGCUUCGUCCGCUUAGGAACGGUGCACUUUCGGUGAACUGCGUCACGACCGACAACUAGUCCGGCAAACGGCCGAUCGGUUGAAGACAAUGUGCUUCGGCUACGUUGUGACUAACCUUUCGGUGCUGUCCUGGUUUUGGUUGUCGGGAAUUGUUACCGCGCUCGCAUUCGUCUCACUAUUGUGCUGUUUUGUGGUCAAUUGAAAGGCGGCAGUGUGCGUGCACUCUGUUGCGAUGCUUGGCCUCAACUUCGGUGCUUGGUGAGUAGCGCAUAUGGUCAGUGACGUCCGAGUCAGUUACCCAUUCGACCCGUCUUGAAACACGG
rnacentral:rRNA from 1 species